UAUUCUUUUUAUGUAUGUAUAUAAAAGACUAUAAUCUAUCUAUUAUUAUAAAACACUGUUUUCUCUCCUGUGAGAACGUCACCUAGGAUUUCACCUAGGAAAGUCGAGUCCUGGCGUUGCAACACGUGUCCGGGCUGAUAGAGCACUGCGUUUCAUUUAAGUUAGAGUGAUAUUCAUGCGGGCUUUGCUACUUCAUGGUUUAUUGGGCUACGAAAAAUAAUAAAAAAUCUAGCCCAGUUGCCGAGCUCUCCUUCUUCUACAAUGGCCGCUUACAGAUUCGUAGGUUUCCCGUCUUCUUCUUCUUUAUGUAAUCCGAGCAACCGACGGUGUAGAUUCUGGAUGCAGCCGUUACGGAAAAUGCAUUGAUGCGAUGCCAUUGACGACAUUCUUAACUCCUUAGCCCCACACCAUCCACGAUAAAUCAUUCAUUGCAUCUUAACUCUCAUCAAGGCGGUGGAACUUGAUCUAUAAGAAGGUAAACUUUCUUUGCGUAAAACUCAUCUCACAACUCCUACAGCACUACAAAUUUCUGAAAAACUUCUUUCUCUCCAUCAUCCAUAACAUUUACUCUUCACCGCAACAAAACUGGCGAACCCUAACCUCCCCAUCGUUUGCGGAGGACUGUAAUGACCGGACUCUUGCCGUCGUGUCUGGAUUGCAUAGAGUUUGAGAUAUGCGGAGCAUAGACGUGGCCGUGUUACUGACUCAGGAAACAAAGGAAGAGUAACGGCAACGGGAGUCCAGCAGACUAAAAGAUGCACUCUUAGAGAGGCGGAGGCCGAGGACAAUAUCAGCUGCGAGAAUUUUGAAAUAUCCAAAAGUAAACCUUCAAGAGAAUCAGUUAGAAAAGUAGUUCGUGAACAAGAGAAGGAAGUUAUGUUAUUUGAUAAUGAUAGUGGUGGCUCUUACAAGGCGGCUGCACAUGAAAAAGAUGGAGAUAAUGCUCUUUUCCCUGAAAGUGAUGACAACAGUUCAACAUGGUACGAGAACGAACUACUAUGGGCACCUUCGUCGCCAAAAUAACUGAAGAUCGGUAUUGUUCUCUCCAAAGGUGAAGUACCUGGUGGGUGCACACUGUCAUACAUGAACCAUUCGUGUUGUGUGCAGGUUGAUGUUGUCCUAAGAUUAUCAUCUCUAAGUUUUCUUGAUGUUGUAUAAAAGACAUGCAUUGAGAGCUGAAGAAGCAUCUCAUCACUGCUAGAUAUAUUGAUGAUGAAAUAUCCAUGUUACAUGAGAUGGCUAAGAAUGCUUGGAUAACGGUUCUUAGUGAAGCAACAUCCCACAAUAGUGUGAAUCUCACUUAGCCUUUAGUUUGAAUCUCAACCCUCUUAAUAGUGUGUGUCAGAGGAAAAAUGUGUGUUACCCUAUA